UGGUAAAUUUCAUCUAAAGCUAAAUAUUGGUGGGAGACCGAUAGCGCACAAGUAGAGUGAUCGAAAGAUGAAAAGCACUUUUGAAAAUAGAGUUAAAAAGUACGUGAAAUUGUUGAAAGGGAAGCGCUUGAGACCAGACUUCGGUAAGGGGUGAUCAGCCGUCCUUUUUGGGCGGUGCACUUGCCCCCCUCCGGGCCAGCAUCGGUUGAGGCGGCGGGAUAAAGGUCCCGGGAAUGUGGCUCCUUCACGGGAGUGUUAUAGCCCGGGUGAAUGCCGCCAGCUUCGACCGAGGACCGCACCCGCAAGGGUUAGGAUGCUUGGCAUAAUGGUCUUCAGCGAC
rnacentral:rRNA from 1 species